rnacentral:lncRNA from 1 species
GGAACAUAGAAACGUUGCGCAUCACUGGGUAACAUAAAAUUUGGCUUGUAAAUACGAUAACACCAGCCAAUAUAGCUCUUUCAUUUGGGUGGUAAGAAUGGCAAGAUGCUCGGAAAAUGUAGAAAGUUCCUACGUGCCUCGAGGAUAACACCAGCAACUUUCAAGAAAAGAAAUACUGCUUUGCAAAUUCGAGUGAGUCCAUGAAUAUCAACGGAGAGACAGAAAGGAGAAUGGUU